UCGGACGCUUAACCGACUGCGCCACCCAGGCGCCCCUUGUAUUCUCAGUUUUUAAGAGUCUCUUACGGUUUGUUUUUUUUUUAAAGAAAAGGUGUGGCUAUGAAAAAAUUUAUUGGAUCUUAAUUUGCAAAAUUAGCUCCCCCCCAUCAACCCUCAGUGUAUUCUCAGUUUUUAAGAGUCUCUUAGGGUGUUUUUUUUUUUUAAAAGAAAAGGUGUGGCUAUGAAAAAAUUUAUUGGAUCUUAAUUUGCAGAAUUAGUUCCUCUCCCCCCCCAUCAACCCUCAGUGUAUUCUCAGUUUUUAAGAGUCUCUUACGUUUUUUUUUUUUUUAAAGAAAAGGUGUGGCUAUGAAAAAAUUUAUUGGAUCUUAAUUUGCAAAAUUAGUUCUGGUUCAUUUUAUUGCCGUAAUUUAAUACUUAUAAUGAUUUUCUGACACAUAUGUUUUAGCAGCAAGAUCUACUUCCUAUUCAUUUUUCAUCUCAGUACAGCUGAAGUCUAUUAGGUAGGACGGUACAAAUCAGGGAGAGGAGAACCUCGCAAGAAAUUGACUUCAUGAUGUCAUCUUAGCAUCCUUGAGACGCGCGCUGAGCCCCUGUAAGCGGAAAGUAGUCACAGCCGGAGAUUUGGGGCAGAAGGACACAGGCAAGCAAUCCUUCUUGGAAAAGGGAUUACUCUUUUUUUUUUUUUUUUUUUGCUGUAUCAUCAGCAACCUCUUCAUUGUCGUCAUCAUCAUUAUUGCAAUUUUUGUCCAAGAGCGCCGUGAGAUGCAUCCUAUUUGAACCCGUCCCCCUCGAGCUGUAGCAAGGACAGCUUGCCCAAGUAAGCUGCCGACUAACACUCAGAAGACGCAGGUCAUGGACGCAGAGGAGCUAAGGUCAAGGGACUCUGAGGGGGUGCUUCUCAUCCUGACCUGGGUGCUAGGGAGGGCAUCCCGGAGGAGAGGGCCCCCGGGGUUGAAUCCUGCAGGUGGUUCCUUAGGGCAGCGACUGUGUCUUUUUGUUUCUGCGUAGACACCUGUGACGCGGAAGGCACGUGGUAAAUAUUUGCAGAGAGAACAAACGAAGGUUCACUCUCUUUUUAAAUCUCCCCGAUGCCGAGUACUAGCUGAGAAGGAUGUGGUAUACGUGCCUUAGUUCAGGCCCUUUGGCUACGCAUUCUUGGAACUCGAAGCGUUCGGAGCUUCAGGACGUCAUUACCUCCUUCCAUUCUGUUCCCCUCCUUUGACCAAGUGACUGGUUCGAAGCCAUUUGCUUUUCUAAGAGACGGAGCUGGGAUAGAGUGUCUCUUGCCUUUCAGAAACGAGAACUCAUGUUUUUCGGAGAUGGAGAGACACGCCCAUUAUAAAGGUGGGGAAGGGUGAGGAUUCUAGAGUCAGGCGGCCCUAGGUGUGAAUCUUGGCUCUGUCAGUGUGUGAGGCAGGGGCGUGUUGAGCCCUAGGUUUCUCCUUCAUGCUGUAAAAACAGUAAUGACACCACAAGAGAGGGGUUGGGAGAAUUAAAUUGGAUGAUGCGGGUCGAAUACUUUGCUGUGGUCCCUGGCACACGGAACGUUCUCCAACAUCUGUCAGAAGUAACAAUGAAAACAAAACCAAGAAGCGAACUAACUCCCCUAAACUGGGUUCCUGGUUCUUUGGGCCAGUGGGACCAGAGUUGUUACUGGUGAAGUAUCUUCCUCCUGCACAGCCUGGGGGAGAACGUACAUGCUUAUUUCUUCUGAGAGAGAAACACAGGAGCCCUGUUCACUCCCCAUCGGGCUUUGGGCAGAGAGAGACAGAUGUGGUAGGCUGGUGGCUAGAGAUGGGGACAGUGAGGGAGGGCCCCGGAUGAGCAGUCCCCAGGAGCAAGAGGGGUCUGACAGGUCCAGCUGGCCCGGCAGGACCAACUGUGUGGGACAGCGGACCCCCACUCUGGAACCCAGCCUGUGCCCGCAGGAGGAACAGCAGGGGUGACCCAGGAUGGGAGUGAUCUCCGCCAGCAGGGACCCUGCCCCCGAGAUGGACGCAGGUCAAAUGGCGUUUGAGGAACUGAAGAACGUUGGGAGGGAAUUAUAGAAGCCUCUGAUCAGGAGAGUGGAGGCCCAGAGAGAUGUGAAUCACUCACUCCAAGUCACAGGCAUCAGCUCGAAGCCCAGAUGGAAAACGAACCUCAUCGAUUUCAAAGUCUGUCCUGUCCAUGUCACUGACCCAGCUAAACUUUACGGGACUACAUUUUCCCUUACACUUCUCUCCCUGACUUCAGCUCCUUGGUGAUGGGCUGUGUGUGAGUGUCUGGAAAUCGAUGUAUUUUAAGGAAUCGGUUCGAGUGACGACGGAGGCUUGACAACUUUGGAAUCUGCAGGCAGGCCAACAGGCUGGGAGAAGACCCAGGGAGAAGCUAAUGUUGCAGCUGGAGUUUGAAGGCAGUCUGGAGGCAGAGAUUCCUUUUCCUUGGGGGAACCUCAGCUUUUUUUUUUUUUUUUUUUUUUCUUUAAGACCUUCAACUGAUUGGGUGAGGCCCACCCACAUUAUAAAGAGUAAUCUGCUUUACUCAAUGUCUGGUGAUUUACCUGCUAAUUUCACCUAAGAAGUACCUUCCUAGUGAUAUCUAGACUGGUGUUUGACCAAAUAUCUGGGUACUGUGACCUCGCUGAGUUGACAUACGGCAUUAGCCAUCACGUGGGGCUAAUAAGAUCUAUCUCCUAAGAUGGAAGGGGGGUAUCCGUGAGCUGAUGUAGAAAAAGAGCUUGGGCACAGGUAAGUUCCGGCUGCAUAUUACCCGUUGUUCUUCCCCGGAACUGGACGUGCUGUCUCUGGCUUUGGCUCGGACGGGUCGUCUCUGUCCGCGGACCCGCCCUCUGGCAGCCGGCAGGUUUGAGUUCUGUCCCACCUGCUUCUUGCGGCUGCCGUAAAGUCCGGGUGCCUCCUGUGCGGCCCCCCCGCGUCUGGGAGGAGAUUUAUGUAUCCUGUUUCCCAGGAUAAAUUAGGAUCCUGGGCGCCGCCUCCCAUGGACGGCCUCGGUAGAGGCCCAGGAGGGGAAAUACCGCAGGGAAGGGCGGCUGAGGACGGCUGAAAUGGCAGGGCAAGAAUGCCACCCAGAGAAUCUUUGUUGUUGUUUAUACCGGUGGCAGGAAGCAAACAUAAUGCUCUUCAAUUUUCCUUGGCAGGGUCUGAGGCGCCCCGCGGCUGCCAUCCUGUCUGCCUGGCCGCGCUGCACCCCCACCUCCCCCAGCCUCAGGUGGACGGGCCCCCCCAGCAAAUGCUUUUCCUGGAAACAUGAGGCCCCCACAGCCCUCCGCCGCCCGACCCCCUCUGCGUUCAAGCCUCUGCGUUGUCUCCACCGGCCAGCCGUGCCCCCCC